GGCUCAGGUGGUAGAGAGCCAGCCUUGAGCGAAAGAGCCAGGCAGCACUGCACUAUGAGUCUCUGCAAAUGGAACUAGCCAUAUGCGUAUGGAACCUUCCUCCAUGGGUCCUAGGCACACCUCUGGCUGAAAACCACUGGUCCAGUGGUUCUACAGGCCAUACCAACCUUCUCAAUUCCUAAGACUUACAAAAAAAUUAGAUAUUAAAUAUAAAUGAGCAACA